AAGUUGGCGCCGUGGGCCGAGCCGGAGGAGCCGCGCUGCCCUCAAGGGCCUGGCCCGGGGCGCGGACCAGGAAGUCGCGCAGUCCCUGGCGCUCGUGGAAAGUGGAGGCCGCUCUCCCGGCACAGUCAACAGAGAAGGUGUUCGCCAGCCUCCCCCAGGUGGAGAGGGGCGUCUCCAAGAUCAUCGGCGGCGACCCUAAGGGCAACAAUUUUCUGUACACCAAUGGAAAGUGCGUCAUCCUAAGGAACAUCGAUGUAUCUUCAACCUUCUAGCAUGUUCCAUCAGGUUCACUGUGGGCCAGGAGCUGAGAUACCAGUGCCAAGCCUUGAGACCCAAGCCCCAGGACCCAGGGUCAUCACAGCCUGCCUGUAAAUUGCAGUAGUGACCUCUGGCCCCUUCGUCACCACCUGAGACUGGGAGGACAUAGGAAAAACCCAGCCCUUGCUGACAUCUACACGGAACACGCCCAUCAGGUGGUGGUGGCCAGGUAUGCGCCCAGCGGAUUCUACAUUGCCUCCGGAGAUGUGUCUGGGAAGCUGAGGAUCUGGGAUACCACGCAGAAGGAGCACCUGUUGAAGUAUGAGUACCAGCCUUUCGCUGGGAAGAUCAAAGACAUUGCUUGGACUGAAGACAGUAAGAGGAUCGCCGUGGUCGGGGAAGGAAGGGAGAAGUUUGGAGCAGUCUUCCUGUGGGAUAGUGGCUCUUCUGUGGGCGAGAU
rnacentral:sRNA from 1 species